UACAGAGGGUGCAAGCGUUAUCCGGAAUCAUUGGGUUUAAAGGGUCCGUAGGCGGUUUAGUAAGUCAGUGGUGAAAGCCCAUCGCUCAACGGUGGAACGGCCAUUGAUACUGCUAAACUUGAAUUAUUAGGAAGUAACUAGAAUAUGUAGUGUAGCGGUGAAAUGCUUAGAGAUUACAUGGAAUACCAAUUGCGAAGGCAGGUUACUACUAAUAUAUUGACGCUGAUGGACGAAAGCGUGGGUAGCGAACAGG
rnacentral:rRNA from 1 species